CCAUGAUGCGCUGUAGGCUUCGAGCUGGGACCUCGUGGCGCAACGGAAGUGCGUCUGACUCCAGAUCAGGAGGUUCAAAUCACGUCGGGGUCAUUCAAUGUGCUCUUUUUCACACAGACCCAUGAUUUUCUGCGCAGUCUAAUAAGGAUGCUGUUAUAUGGACUCCAAUCUCUAUGAUGACCACCCAUGUCUUUGUCAACUUCAUGCUAAAAGUGCCCAAAGCCCGUGGUGGUGGCAGUGCAUGGCGUUUGUGUGGAAGCAGGAGUGGAUCUAAUCACAGCCUGUGAUAUUCGUCUGUGCACACAGGAUGCCUGGUUUCAGGUGAAGGAAGUAGAGUAACCUGUGCUGAAGGCCUGUUGUGGUGAUGACGUGUCAUGACAUGUUUUGGCCCAAAUCUGCAG
ensembl:lncRNA